UGCUGCUUCCACUGACAACAAGAAGUGUGUGUUAACAGUACAAAUGUACAAAUCUGUACAACACCACCACUCCAGUGUGGCUUUAUCUUUCUCACGCUAUAAACAAGAAUCAGGAGGUAAUGGACAUUUCCACCUAAAAGUGCAGAGCUACAGAGGCAACACUAUCUAUGCAAAUGCAUUAUGUGCUUGUUUUGUGAGGAGCUAUGGCAAAAUGAACUGCAGAAUUGCUCAAAAAAGAGGGAGUACAGUGGUAUAUGCAGAAGAUCUUUUACCUAUUAAAUGCUUCUGCAUAUGUGCAUUCAUCUUAUCCUUUGCGGAGCUCUCGGUGACUCGUACUGGUGGAAAUGGAGUACUGAAACUGAACUUCUCAGCAGAGGACACCUGCUGACUAAAGAUAAAUCAUACACACAUCGGAAGAAGCCUAGCUGCCAUAAGGCACUCUAAGCCAGUUAAAAAUGUAAAGUUUCUCUGACAAGCAGACAAAUACAAGGCAGGCAGGAGUCGAGAGCAUCAAAGGAAUAAAGUCCACUUCCUCUGUCAUCUGGACACAAGGCCGGGCUGAAGUCAGGAGACGGACUGACUGGCAGACCAGCUUUGAUUUCAUUGUUACUUAGGAGGAGGAGGAUGACAUCCACUAUGUCCCUGUUCUCUCCACUAUUGGGGUUAGUUAGGCCUUUCCAACAUCCUGCCAGAGGAGGGUUGCGAAAUUAAGGAUGCAGCGACAAGCCAUCUGGGCCAACUUCCUAUGUUCAAAACCUCUGUCCCUGACUAAAUCUUCCUGUACCUGCCUCACAGGCACACCGGACAACUCAAGGGCUUCCUCUGUGGCGAUCCAUUUUUUGCAUGUCAUCAUUUUUAUCAUUGAGAAAUGGUUUCCCCUGCUGAGAAGGGAACCAAGCAUAUUGUGGUAAAUCCUUUGUCCUGGCAAUGUCCUUUCUGUUGGGAAAUAUCUCUUGGAGUACAAGCAAGUGCCAAAGAUUAACACAGUCCUAGCCUGCUGUGAUGGCUUGCACGCUCCUAAAACUCAUGCUGCGACUGCUUGGAGGCCAAACUUAAGGAGUUCCAUUACCGCGCUUGUUACCUACUUUCUGGAGAUUCAGGCCAUAAACAAGAUGCAGCUUAAGAAAACUGUAGAAAACAAUGGCAAUGUAGGGAGAGCCUGGUCAACAACUAUGGUGCUGAACACCUAAAGGGAGGGAAACAUUUCCUCAGGCCUUGCCAGUGGACUAAUUCCCAUGAACCUCAUGCGACCUCCAGUGACAAGGCAAGAGGUAUGAGUGACCAAUAAAAUGAUACAUGACUUUCCAUAUCACAACCCUAUACACACGCAGCUGGCUGAGACUGAGUAGCGGUUUGAACGUAAAAGCGAUGGUGGCUCUCAUUGACCCGAUAAGUGCUCUAAAUUAUGCUGUUUCUAAGCAACGCAAGCCCUUUGGAGUGUUGUAAUAUUUGUCUGCCACUGUGUCCCAGGAUCCAGUUUCUGGCUUCAGAACAUGUGUACAGUGAUUAACCAAUAAAGCCAAUGGAUGCCACAAA